rnacentral:rRNA from 1 species
AUACGUAGGUGACAAGCGUUAUCCGGAUUUACUGGGCGUAAAGGGCGUGUAGGCGGUCUUGCAAGUCAGAAGUGAAAUUCCUGAGCUCAACUCGGGCGCUGCUUCUGAAACUGCAGGACUUGAGUGCUGGAGGGGAUAGCGGAAUUCCUAGUGGAGCGGUGAAAUGCGUAGAUAUUAGGAGGAACACCAGUGGCGAAGGCGACUUUCUGGACAGUAACUGACGCUGAGGUACGAAAGCGUGGGGAGCAAACAGGAUUAGAUACCCUGGUAGUCCACGCUGUAAACGAUGAGCACUAGGUGUCGGGCUAGCAAUAGUUCGGUGCCGCAGUUAACGCAAUAAGUGCUCCGCCUGGGGAGUACGCACGCAAGUGUGAAACUCAAAGGAAUUGACGGGG